rnacentral:rRNA from 1 species
GAUGAACGCUGGCGGCGUGCCUAAUACAUGCAAGUCGAGCGAACAGACGAGGAGCUUGCUCCUCUGACGUUAGCGGCGGACGGGUGAGUAACACGUGGAUAACCUACCUAUAAGACUGGAAUAACUUCGGGAAACCGGAUCUAAUACCGGAUAAUAUAUUUAACUGCAUGGUUCAAUAGUGAAAGACGGUUUUGCUGUCACUUAUAGAUGGAUCCGCGCCGCAUUAGCUAGUUGGUAAGGUAACGGCUUACCAAGGCGACGAUGCGUAGCCGACCUGAGAGGGUGAUCGGCCACACUGGAACUGAGACACGGUCCAGACUCCUACGGGAGGCAGCAGUAGGGAAUCUUCCGCAAUGGGCGAAAGCCUGACGGAGCAACGCCGCGUGAGUGAUGAAGGUCUUCGGAUCGUAAAACUCUGUUAUUAGGGAAGAACAAAUGUGUAAGUAACUAUGCACGUCUUGACGGUACCUAAUCAGAAAGCCACGGCUAACUACGUG